rnacentral:misc_RNA from 1 species
GAUAGUCAUUUCUGUUUUCCUUUUGAUAGUUUCUUCACUAUCCCUUUUUCAAUUUGCGGACAAUUCUUUUAUGCCCAAAUCAGUUUUUAGUUUAGUUCUUGUUAAUGAUACUUCAGUUUACUUGACCUCGAGUAGUGGGGAAUCUAAAGAUGCUUUCUUGCCUGCUGAAACUUCACAUGAACAUAUACUGAAAACCCAGGAUUUGGCUUCUGAAACUUCCAGUUUCAGCAACGAUUCCAGUGGAUUAGGAAUUGGGAGAUCUUGUGGUCCAGAACAAGCUCUUCUUAGA